AUUCAGUCUCUAGUAUUCCCAGUGCUCACUAGGCUUUCCCGUUUUGUUGAACUAAUAGCAAAUUUAAGUUCAAUAUACAGGAUAGCCCCGUGAGUGGAAAGAAAGCAUAACUUUGUAUGU
rnacentral:precursor_RNA from 14 species